rnacentral:snRNA from 1 species
GGUUCUGUAGAUCAUAGUUAGUU